rnacentral:lncRNA from 1 species
GCCGGGCCCUUCCUCCCUCCCUCACACGCCUCCACCUCUUCCCGAUCUCCUCCUCCCCGAGCCCGGCGCACCGAGCCGGCCGUGCCACCGAGCUGCGGCUCUGGCCCCGGCGCCGCGGGUGCGCUGCGGAUGGGCUUGGGGCGCACCCAGCGAGCAGCGAGAGUCGCGGUGUCCCGGGCGCUCGCUGGCACCGUGGCCGCAGCGGCCGGCCUGGGAGCCAGGAGGGCGAGGCGGCUGCACCUUCGGGGCCAGAUUGGAGUUCGAAGAGUGGCGGGUACCCCAGAAGCUCGGGGCCGGGGCGAUGGCUGCAGCCUCGGGAGGGUAUCGCCGGAUCGAACUCCGGGAAAGGGAAGCAAAGGCAUGGAACCUCCGCACACUGGAUGAGAAUCCAUCUUCCAUUCGAGCUGGGAAUAGACUUUGUGAAAGAUAUUAUGUAAUGGAGUCUCGGGAACCCUGAGACCUCUCCAGCGAAGCUGAAGUGCUGUGUUACGGGAGAGAGUGACUGGAAAGUAACAAAGCUGAAUCUUUCUCCCUGGAGUAAGGCCGAAGACUGGAUUACUACACGCCUAGACGUGACACUACACCCAUAGAUCUCAUGCAUCAUUAAUGCCAUAUGACAUUGCCAUUUUCUUUCUCAGUUCACGGACAAAAGUGGUGGGUUUUCAUUGUCUUCACUGAUUGUCAAUGCAUUAAUAAAGAAGAUGUGUG